GGGUAGAUACGGAAGCGGCUCAAACCGGUCAGACUGUAAAUCUGAUGUCUACGACUUCGCAGGUUCGAAUCCUGCUCUGCCCACCA
rnacentral:tRNA from 1 species